AGGGUUUGAUCCUGGCUCAGAGUGAACGCUGGCGGCGUGCCUAACACAUGCAAGUCGUACGAACCGUAAGGUUAGUGGCGAAAGGGUGAGUAAUGCGCAGAUAACGUACCUCCGAAACGGGGACAACUCGGGGAAACCUGAGCUAAUACCCGAUAUGACCACACCGUCGCAUGACGGAGAGGUAAAAGUUGGCCUUAAAACCAACGCUUGGAGAGCGAUCUGUGUCCUAUCAGCUAGUUGGCGAGGUUACGGCCCACCAAGGCUAUGACGGGUAGCAGGCCUGAGAGGGUGGUCUGCCACAUUGGGACUGAGACACUGCCCAGACUCCUACGGGAGGCUGCAGUGGGGAAUAUUGGGCAAUGGGCGAAAGCCUGACCCUGCGACGCCGCGUGGACGAAGAAGGCCUUCGGGUUGUAAAGUCCUGUCACGGGGUAAGAAUUGCACGGAGAGGAAAUGCUUCGUGCUUGACGUUCCCCCGAAAGGAAGCCCUGGCUAAACACGUGCCAGCAGCAGCGGUAAUACGUGUAGGGCUAGCGUUGCUCGGAUUCACUGGGCUUAAAGGGUGUGUAGGCGGCUCGCUAAGUAUGGUGUGAAAUCCCACGGCUUACCCGUGGAAGUGCGCCAUAUACUGGUGAGCUCGAGUGCCGGAGAGGUCAGCGGAACUCUAGGUGUAGCGGUGAAAUGCGUAGAUAUCUAGGGGAACGCCGGAGGCGAAGGCGGCUGACUGGUCGGUAACUGACGCUGAAACACGAAAGCUAGGGGAUCAAACGGGAUUAGAUACCCCGGUAGUCCUAGCCGUAAACGAUGUGCACUAGGGGGUGGGACUCUGUCUCACGCUCGCAGCUAAAGCGCUAAGUGCACCGCCUGGGGAGUAUGCUCGCAAGGGUAAAACUCAAAGGAAUUGACGGGGGCUUACACAAGCGGUGGAGCAUGUGGUUUAAUUCGAAGCUACGCGAAGAACCUUACCUAGGCUUGACAUGCACGUGGUACUGACCUGAAAGGGAAUGGACCCUGAGCAAUCAGGGAGCGUGCACAGGUGCUGCAUGGCUGUCGUCAGCUCGUGUCGUGAGAUGUCGGGUUAAGUCCCUUAACGAGCGCAACCCUCGCACUUAGUUGCUACCAGGUUAUGCUGGGCACUCUAAGUGGACUGCCGGUGUCGAAUCGGAGGAAGGUGGGGACGACGUCAAGUCAUCAUGGCCCUUACGCCUAGGGCGACACACGUGCUACAAUGGUCGGAACAGAGGGAAGCAAGACCGCAAGGUGGAGCAAAUCCCCAAAUUCGACCCCAGUUCAGAUUGGAGGCUGAAACCCGCCUCCAUGAAGUUGGAAUCGCUAGUAAUCGCGGAUCAGCUACGCCGCGGUGAAUAUGUUCCUAAGCCUUGUACACACCGCCCGUCAAGCCACGAAAGCUGGGAGCACCUGAAGUCGCUAUUCUAACCCGCAAGGGAGGGAGGCGCCCACGGUGAAACCGGUGAUUGGGACUAAGCCGUAACAAGGUA
rnacentral:rRNA from 1 species